rnacentral:snRNA from 1 species
GUGUUCGCAUUGACAGCACAUAUACUAAAACUGGAACGAUACAGAGAAGAUUAGCAUGGCCCUUGCAUGAGGAUGACAUGCAAAUUUGUGAACUAUAAUGUUUUUAU